CUACGGGCGGCACCAGUGGGGAAUCUUGCGCAAUGGGCGAAAGCCUGACGCAGCAACGCCGCGUGCGGGAAGAAUGCCCUUUGGGCUGUAAACCGCUUUCAGCAGGAACGAAAAUGACGGUACCUGCAGAAGAAGAAGCGGCCAACUAUGUGCCAGCAGCCGCGGUGAUACAUAGGCUUCGAGCGUUGUCCGGAUUUAUUGGGCGUAAAGAGUUCGUAGGCGGUUAAGUAAGUCGGGUGUGAAAAUUCUGGGCUCAACCCAGAAACGCCACCCGAUACUGCUUGACUUGAGUUCGACAGGGGAGUGGGGAAUUCCUAGUGUAGCGGUGAAAUGCGCAGAUAUUAGGAGGAACACCGGUGGCGAAGGCGCCACUCUGGGUCGACACUGACGCUGAGGAACGAAAGCAUGGGUAGCAAACAGGAUUAGAUACCCCAGUAGUC
rnacentral:rRNA from 1 species